CACGUAGGGCGCGAGCGUUUGUCCGGAAUUAUUGGGCGUAAAGAGCUCGUAGGCGGCCUGUUGCGUCCGCUGUGAAAGCCCGGGGCUUAACCCCGGGUCGGCAGUGGAUACGGGCAGGCUAGAGGUAGGUAGGGGAGAAUGGAAUUCCCGGUGUAGCGGUGAAAUGCGCAGAUAUCGGGAGGAACACCAGUGGCGAAGGCGAUCACCUGGGGUUGUUCUGACGCUGAGGAGCGAAAGCUAGGGGAGCAAACGGG
rnacentral:rRNA from 1 species